CCCUUAGAUGUCCUGGGCUGCACGCGCGCUACACUGAUGUGUUCAAUAAGCACCUAACCUACUCCGAAGGGACUGGGUAACCUUUGCAAAGCACAUCGUGAUGGGGAUAGAUUAUUGCAAUUAUUAGUCUUGAACGAGGAAUUCCUAGUAAGCGCAAGUCAUCAGCUUGUGUUGAUUACGUCCCUGCCCUUUGUACACACCGCCCGUCGCUCCUACCGAUUGAACGGUUUAGUGAGGGCCUCGGAUUGGUCUCGGCCCGCUCUUUACCGGGCGGCGCCGUUGGUCGAGAAGACGCUCGAACUUGAUCGUUUAGAGGAAGUAAAAGUCGUAACA
rnacentral:rRNA from 1 species